rnacentral:rRNA from 1 species
GCGGCGGACGGGUUAGUAACGCGUGGGAACGUACCUUUUGCUUCGGAAUAGCCUCGGGAAACUGGGAGUAAUACCGAAUGUGCCCUUUGGGGGAAAGAUUUAUCGGCAAAAGAUCGGCCCGCGUCUGAUUAGAUAGUUGGUGGGGUAAUGGCCUACCAAGUCUGCGAUCAGUAGCUGGUUUGAGAGGAUGAUCAGCAACACUGGGACUGAGACACGGCCCAGACUCCUACGGGAGGCAGCAGUGGGGAAUCUUAGACAAUGGGCGCAAGCCUGAUCUAGCGAUGCCGCGUGAGUGACGAAGGCCUUAGGGUCGUAAAGCUCUUUCGCCAGGGAUGAUAAUGACAGUACCUGGUAAAGAAACCCCGGCUAACUCCGUGCCAGCAGCCGCGGUAAUACGGAGGGGGUUAGCGUUGUUCGGAAUUACUGGGCGUAAAGCGCACGUAGGCGGAUUAGAAAGUUGGGGGUGAAAUCCCAGGGCUCAACCCUGGAACUGCCUCCAAAACUACUAGUCUAGAGUUCGAGAGAGGUGAGUGGAAUUCCGAGUGUAGAGGUGAAAU